rnacentral:rRNA from 1 species
GGAAUAUUGGACAAUGGGCGCAAGCCUGAUCCAGCCAUGCCGCGUGAGUGAUGAAGGCCCUAGGGUUGUAAAGCUCUUUCGGCGGGGACGAUAAUGACGGUACCCGCAGAAGAAGCCCCGGCUAACUUCGUGCCAGCAGCCGCGGUAAUACGAAGGGGGCUAGCGUUGUUCGGAAUCCCUGGGCGUAAAGCGCACGUAGGCGGAUUAUUAAGUCGGGGGUGAAAUCCCGAGGCUCAACCUCGGAACUGCCUUCGAUACUGGUAAUCUUCGAGUCCGGGAGAGGUGAGUGGAACUCCGAGUGUAGAGGUGAAAUUCGUAGAUAUUCGGAAGAACACCAGUGGCGAAGGCGGCUCACUGGCCCGGUACUGACGCUGAGGUGCGAAAGCGUGGGGAGCAAAC